rnacentral:rRNA from 1 species
UGGGCCCUAAAUACAUGCCAAGUUCGAGCGGACAGAUGGGAGCUUGCUCCCUGAUGUUAGCGGCGGACGGGUGAGUAACACGUGGGUAACCUGCCUGUAAGACUGGGAUAACUCCGGGAAACCGGGGCUAAUACCGGAUGGUUGUCUGAACCGCAUGGUUCAGACAUAAAAGGUGGCUUCGGCUACCACUUACAGAUGGACCCGCGGCGCAUUAGCUAGUUGGUGAGGUAACGGCUCACCAAGGCGACGAUGCGUAGCCGACCUGAGAGGGUGAUCGGCCACACUGGGACUGAGACACGGCCCAGACUCCUACGGGAGGCAGCAGUAGGGAAUCUUCCGCAAUGGACGAAAGUCUGACGGAGCAACGCCGCGUGAGUGAUGAAGGUUUUCGGAUCGUAAAGCUCUGUUGUUAGGGAAGAACAAGUGCCGUUCAAAUAGGGCGGCACCUUGACGGUACCUAACCAGAAAGCCACGGCUAACUACGUGCCAGCAGCCGCGGUAAUACGUAGGUGGCAAGCGUUGUCCGGAAUUAUUGGGCGUAAAGGGCUCGCAGGCGGUUUCUUAAGUCUGAUGUGAAAGCCCCCGGCUCAACCGGGGAGGGUCAUUGGAAACUGGGGAACUUGAGUGCAGAAGAGGAGAGUGGAAUUCCACGUGUAGCGGUGAAAUGCGUAGAGAUGUGGAGGAACACCAGUGGCGAAGGCGACUCUCUGGUCUGUAACUGACGCUGAGGAGCGAAAGCGUGGGGAGCGAACAGGAUUAGAUACCCUGGUAGUCCACGCCGUAAACGAUGAGUGCUAAGUGUUAGGGGGUUUCCGCCCCUUAGUGCUGCAGCUAACGCAUUAAGCACUCCGCCUGGGGAGUACGGUCGCAAGACUGAAACUCAAGGAAUUGACGGGGGCCCGCACAAGCGGUGGAGCAUGUGGUUAAAUCGAAAGCACCGCGAAGAACCUC